GUGGUGAGACGCCUCCUCAUCCUGUUUUAUUUUGGCUGGACUUCCUGUAUUUCCCUGUUUGCCUGGUCUGGCUUUACUCUUUUCCAGAGCUUCCUCCCCUCCCCCGGCGCUGAGGCUGAGUGAGUCGACACACCUGCUCCACAUCUCCAAUCAAGGCACUUUAAGAAGCCUGCAGCCCUCAGUCUCAGCGCCUGAGCAUUGUCUACCCUUCCUAGCGGUAAAGACGCGUCUCCUGGCCAACCUUGUUUGUAUAAUCAUCAGAACUUUGCUCCUCAUGAUUCUGUGCAUGUACUUCCAUCUCCUCUGGUUUUUCCUGCAGUGUCUCCAGCCCACACGACAGCCAGCCAACCAGCCUACCGGGCAUCCUCUGUUGCAUUAUCUACCCC